UACGUAAAAUUAGGCUGCCGUUGGGAAUAAUAUUUAUCCAAAUCCCCGCUUCCGAGUGUUUUUCCGCAUGUGUGCAUCGCUUUAAAAUAUAAAUCAAAUUAACCUACCUUGGCCACCAAACAGGAAACGCGUUAUCCCGUGCAAACUGUAUUCAUGCACAGCUGCGUAACACUUCUCCACGUGUGUUCUUUCGAGCUAAGGGGAGAUAUAAAGGAGACACACUGUCCUGCCCUAAUCAUUCUUGAAGCUGCUGUGCGAUCGAAUAUUUAGUCUCUUUCGAGCAUUUUGUCUUUUCAGGAAACAAAGUCAGGCUCAUUGCUAAGAUGAAGUUCACCUCUGCCACCUUGCUCCUUGCAGUACUAGCAGCGUUCCUCGCCGUGAUGACUGCAGCAGAGGAGAGAACCGAUAAAUCGGUCAGCCAAUGCCAAAUUGGCAGCGGAUGCCCAGACCCCGUCGCCUGCACUAAAAGCUGCAAGGACAAGGGUGUCGCAAUAGGCCUAUGCGUUGACCUACUGCAGCUGAAAGGCUGUCUGUGCCUACUCUAAAUGUGGCUGAAGUCCUCGAAUCUCUGGCAAGACCUCGCUACACGUUGGCUCAAUAAAUGCAUCCCGUCUUACAUU